AUAAUGAAAAUAUUUAUUUAUCAAUAGAUUAAGAAAGAACUAUUGUUAUAUUCUUGAAUCGUAUUAUUCAUACUAUUUUACAUAAAGAAUAUGCUUCAUUUAUUUUCAUCUUUAGUUUCUAAUAUAUAUAAACAUUUUAACCCUGCCAAAAUGUUUGAUUUGACAAUAAGCAAUUUAAAAUAACGUGGGAUAAAAAAAUCAAAUUUUUUUAAGAACUCAUAAAAUGUACUUUAUGAUUAAAAAAAUGAAUACGCCUACAAUUUUUUUUAAUCUUUCUAUAUAAACAAUCGCAUUGAAGUAUUUUAUACAGUGAUGUCUACUUACAUUAUUAAAUUUCAAUCUGUACUGAUGGAGGUUAUUACGCUGGAUCCCUACUACGUUGAGUUUUUAAAAUUGUAUCUAAUUUUAUAAAUUAUUAAAAUAUUUCUAUGGAAAAGAUGAGAACUGUCUAUUAUAAUGAAUACACAGAACCAGUCUAUAUUACUAUAGUCUAGAUAUAUAGACUACAAAAAUAUCGCUCAGUUUACAAUAGUAUAUUUAUGGUCGACACAAUUAUCAAAAAAAAAAAAAAAACAGUACAAGUUGGGGACCGGUAUAAUGGAGUCCGGAAAAGAGAGAACCGCCAUUUAUUAUAGCCACGAUUAUAAUUGCGAUUUCAGCUUUGGAUCUAAACUAAAAUGAAUAAUAAAUAUAGUUCAAUGUUCAAAAAGUUCUAUUGCAAAAAUUAUACAUUAAGUUUUUAUUUAUAUAAUUAUUAUGUUUAAUUAUGAAAUUUAAAAUUUAAUGAAUUUUA